UCCGAGUUAACCCCGGCAGUCUCUCAUGAGUCCCCAACCAAAUGCUGGCAACAUAAGACAAGGGUUGCGCUCGUUGCGGGACUUAACCCAACAUCUCACGACACGAGCUGACGACAACCAUGCACCACCUGUACACCAACCACAAAGGGAAACUACAUCUCUGCAGCGAUCUGAUGUAUGUCAAGCCCAGGUAAGGUUCUUCGCGUUGCAUCGAAUUAAUCCACAUGCUCCGCCGCUUGUGCGGGCCCCCGUCAAUUCCUUUGAGUUUUAGCCUUGCGGCCGUACUCCCCAGGCGGGGCGCUUAAUGCGUUAGCUACGGCACGAAAGUCGUAGAAAGACCCUCACACCUAGCGCCCACCGUUUACGGCAUGGACUAC
rnacentral:misc_RNA from 1 species